rnacentral:pre_miRNA from 1 species
UCUUCUUCGGAUAGUCGGUCUACCGAGCAACAUCACCAGCUUGGUGGAAGAUCUUCCAUUUGUCCU